rnacentral:rRNA from 1 species
UACGAAGGGGGCUAGCGUUGCUCGGAAUCACUGGGCGUAAAGCGCACGUAGGCGGUUUGUUAAGUCAGGGGUGAAAUCCUGGAGCUCAACUCCAGAACUGCCUUUGAUACUGAAGAUCUUGAGUUCGGGAGAGGUGAGUGGAACUGCGAGUGUAGAGGUGAAAUUCGUAGAUAUUCGCAAGAACACCAGUGGCGAAGGCGGCUCACUGGCCCGAUACUGACGCUGAGGCACGAAAGCGUGGGGAGCAAACAGG